rnacentral:rRNA from 1 species
UGGGGGAUAACGUCCGGAAACGGGCGCUAAUACCGCAUACGUCCUACGGGAGAAAGUGGGGGAUCUUCGGACCUCACGCUAUUAGAUGAGCCUAGGUCGGAUUAGCUAGUUGGUGAGGUAAUGGCUCACCAAGGCGACGAUCCGUAACUGGUCUGAGAGGAUGAUCAGUCACACUGGAACUGAGACACGGUCCAGACUCCUACGGGAGGCAGCAGUGGGGAAUAUUGGACAAUGGGCGAAAGCCUGAUCCAGCCAUGCCGCGUGUGUGAAGAAGGUCUUCGGAUUGUAAAGCACUUUAAGUUGGGAGGAAGGGCAGUUACCUAAUACGUGAUUGUUUUGACGUUACCGACAGAAUAAGCACCGGCUAACUCUGUGCCAGCAGCCGCGGUAAUACAGAGGGUGCAAGCGUUAAUCGGAAUUACUGGGCGUAAAGCGCGCGUAGGUGGUUUGUUAAGUUGGAUGUGAAAGCCCCGGGCUCAACCUGGGAACUGCAUCCAAAACUGGCAAGCUAGAGUAUGGUAGAGGGUGGUGGAAUUUCCUGUGUAGCGGUGAAAUGCGUA